rnacentral:rRNA from 1 species
CCUACGGGGGGCAGCAGUGAGGAAUAUUGGUCAAUGGACGCAAGUCUGAACCAGCCAUGCCGCGUGCAGGAAGACGGCUCUAUGAGUUGUAAACUGCUUUUGUACGAGGGUAAACGCAGAUACGCGUAUCUGUCUGAAAGUAUCCUACGAAUAAGGAUCGGCUAACUCCGUGCCAGCAGCCGCGGUAAUACGGAGGAUUCAAGCGUUAUCCGGAUUUAUUGGGUUUAAAGGGUGCGUAGGCGGUCGUAUAAGUUAGAGGUGAAAUCCCGAGGCUCAACUUCGGAAUUGCCGCUGAUACUGUUCGGCUAGAGAGUAGUUGAGGUAGGCGGAAUGUAUGGUGUAGCGGUGAAAUGCUUAGAGAUCAUACAGAACACCGAUUGCGAAGGCAGCUUACCAGGCUACUUCUGACGUUGAGGCACGAAAGCGUGGGGAGCGAACAGGAUUAGAUACCCUUGUAGUC